rnacentral:rRNA from 1 species
UACGUAGGGGGCGAGCGUUAUCCGGAAUUAUUGGGCGUAAAGAGUACGUAGGUGGUUUCCUAAGCAUGGGGUUUAAGGCAAAAGCUCAACUAUUGUUUGCCUCAUGAACUGGGUUACUUGAGUACUGGAGGGGAAAGUGGAAUUCCUAGUGUAGCGGUGAAAUGCGUAGAUAUUAGGAGGAACACCAGUGGCGAAGGCGACUUUCUGGACAGUAACUGACACUGAGGUACGAAAGUGUGGGGAGCAAACAGG